UGCAACUCGCCUACACGAAGCUGGAAUCGCUAGUAAUCGCGGAUCAGCACGCCGCGGUGAAUAACGUUCCCGGGCCUUGUACACACCGCCCGUCACACCAUGAGAGUCUGUAACACCCAAAGCCGGUGGGAUAACCUUUAUAGGAGUCAGCCGUCUAAGGUAGGACAGAUGAUUAGGGUGAAGUCGUAACAAGGUAGC
rnacentral:rRNA from 1 species